GAGGCAGCGGCCGAAGGUAGGGUCAGCGAUUGGGGUGAAGUCGUAACAAGGUAGCCGUAGGAGAACCUGCGGCUGGAUCACCUCCUUUCUAAGGA
rnacentral:rRNA from 1 species